UGGGGAAUAUUGCACAAUGGGCGAAAGCCUGAUGCAGCGACGCCGCGUGAGUGAAGAAGUAUUUCGGUAUGUAAAGCUCUAUCAGCAGGGAAGAAAAUGACGGUACCUGACUAAGAAGUCCCGGCUAACUACGUGCCAGCAGCCGCGGUAAUACGUAGGGGACAAGCGUUAUCCGGAUUUACUGGGUGUAAAGGGAGCGUAGGCGGUCAGACAAGCCAGAAGUGAAAACCCGGGGCUCAACUCCGAGGAUUGCUUUUGGAACUGCCUGACUGGAGUACUGGAGGGGUAAGCGGAAUUCCUGGUGUAGCGGUGAAAUGCGUAGAUAUCAGGAGGAACACCGGUGGCGAAGGCGGCUUACUGGACAGAAACUGACGCUGAGGCUCGAAAGCGUGGGGAGCAAACAGG
rnacentral:rRNA from 1 species